rnacentral:rRNA from 1 species
AUUGAACGCUGGCGGCAGGCCUAACACAUGCAAGUCGAACGAGUGGCGGACGGGUGAGUAAUGUCUUGGAAACUGCCCGAUGGAGGGGGAUAACUACUGGAAACGGUAGCUAAUCCCGCAUACCAUCGCAUUUGCCCAGAUGGGAUUAGCUCGUAGGUGAGGUAACUGCUCACCUAGGCGACGAUCCCUCGCUGGUCUGCGAGGAUGGCCAGCCCAACUGGUACUGAGACACGGUCCAGACUCGUACGGGAGGCAGCAGUGGGGAAGAUUGCACAAUGGGCGCAAGCAUGAGACAGCCAUGCCGAGUGUAUGAAGAAGGCCUUCGGGUUGUAAAGUACUUUCAGCAGGGAGGCGUUACCCGAAGAAGAAGCACCGGCUAACUCCGUGCCAGCCGCCGCGGUAAUUC